UCAGGGUCUAUUGUCAGUCAUAGAUAUUGUUGCUUUUCAUCCUUUCUUCAUGUUCAGUUGAAACUUUUAAAACUUUGGCUUCCAGGAAUCAGAGAAAUAAACACAGAAAGUUUUUCACACAAGGUUUUUUCUAGACAGAUAAAGGGGAAAGGAGGGUUUUACUGAGUGUAACCAUGAACUCAUGUCAGUGUCGGUCUGAUGUCAUUGAGCAGCAGGAUGGAGGAAACGUCUCUGCUGUGUCUGCUGUUUCUGAUCUCACUGCUGAGCUGCACCACAAACCAAGCUCGUCUGACUGUGAGUCCCAG